UUACAUCCAGGAUCUUCAGGAGAAUUGAGCCAAACCCAAACUCUUCGUUCUCAACGAAGACCUUCUGUAUGGCGAAGAACAGGAGUCUGCUCCCUCAAGUAGAAGAUGUAGUCCUGCAGCUGCUGCCAGUACUCCUACCGGCUCCACCUUACUCAUUUGGGAGAAGUUUCAGACCUAUCAACCUGGAAGUUCAGAAGGUUUCAUUGAUAUCCAGCCUGUUGGGACAAACCUGGUGGCACAUCUACAAAAUGUGACAACAUGGAACCCAUAUGUCCUCAUGCAGGGAGACAGGCAAAAAUGCUAAAGUGUCGUUAAAAAUGCUCCUUGUUUAAUGGCUGAAAGUUUUACUUGUAGUUUGCUUUAAAACAGACUUUUUACAUGAAAUGUUUUCUAAUGUGUAGUAACAGAUACUUCUGGAGUUGUAGCCAAAUGAGUUAAAGUGAUUUAACUAUAUACUUUUGAAACAACUUACUUAUGUUUUGUAACUUUUGUAAGUGAAAU